rnacentral:lncRNA from 1 species
CCUCCUUCAAAAUGGUCAGGGAAAAAACUCUAAGUUGUUAACAUGCAUUUUUUUUUCAGCAUCCCAAGCCUAUAGCUUGGAUGGAGCAAUAGUAGGUGUGGAAUUACCAUCAUUUUUCCUAGGGUGCCCCUGGGCUCAGGCCACCUGUACAGCACCUGCAGACAAAUUGCUGGAGGUCAUUAGCCUGAAGGCCUCCAUCUGCUGUCAGCUUCCCCUCCUCAUUUAUAUCAGAUCCUGAGCUCUGGGAGAGGGAUACUGCUGGGCAUUUUGCUCAAAUGCAGGGUUCUUAUGUUUUUCUCUGGAGUGGUAUUGAGGAUUUGCCUAUGCUUCAGCUGCUGCUGUUUGCAAGAUGGGCAGGAGCCCCAGGAAUGCUACCAGCAAAUGCUGCAUCUCAGGUAACACUGAAGUGCUGAUAUUCUGAAUGCUCCCUUGUUUUUUUACUGAGCUACACUUGCUGUAUUCUGUGGUCAGCCCUUAAAUCUGGUCAGUUCCCACCUGUGACACCAUGCACAGAACAUAAGUAUGUCAAAAUAGAGGGAGUAAAGUAGUGUGAUGUCAAGAGUCAGCAAAGGCUGGGCCUCAGGGGCUGGUUACUGACUAGGGCUUGUUGCUUUGAUCUUGCUGUGCUAUGUGCUGUGGGACCUCUUUUAGGAGAGCAGCAUCACAGAGAUGCUGAGAAAUACAGCUGCUCCCCUCUCCAUGCAAAUCCAGCUCGCUGCAUUAGAAAGCAAGAAGUGAAAUUGGGAAGCCAGCUGCCUGGGGUCACUGUGCUGCUGAGCCAGCAUGCAGCUGAACCAGUGUGCUGCUGUGUUUUGACAUGUCCUCAUGUGCAGAGCAUCAGCCAGGAUCACUCAGGGCAUGUGUCCUCCCACCAUGAUGGUCACAUCAUGAAGCUGUCCAAACCCAUGGAAAAGGAGCAUCAGCCUUUGGUCCAUGGUUGUUGUUAAUGGCUAGAAAUGUUCAAUCUAGCAAAGUGAGGUUGUCAAGAGACCCGGGCAGGGAGGUCAUCCCUCACAGCAUCAGAGCAGUUGGUGACAGUCAUCAGAAAUAUGCAAUCCCCUUCUGAGCGUCUCAUGGAGGAACUCAUCUCUCAGGCUUGUUUGAGUGCCUGUCCCAUCACAACAGGCCUAAACUGGCAGCUUUCUGUUUCUCACACUUCUGCAGCUCUCGGUAGGAGUGUCCACAUCCAGUGAGCUAGGGAAAUAGCACCAGGAAUUAUGUACGUUUUCUUAGUCAGUAGUGAAAAAUAUUCCCUGAUGGACCCUCAGAUUUCUAGAGCUGCAUUAAGACAAGGCUGAUCGGCCACUGCUGGAACAGCAGUGAACCGCAGGAUUUCACUCAGGCUAUUUGUAAUGGUGAAGCACUGCAGGCUAAACAUCGUAACAAGUGACAUCGUGCAAAAGCGUGUCUUUAACUAACUGUUAGU